CUAGCAAUAACAACAAAACAUUUCCUUUCUUCAUGGGGUCCUGGUGCACAGUGGCUACAAACAGCAACCUCCUUGGUAUUGUGUGUGCCUGUUGUAUAUAUGAGUUGUCCUAAGGGACCUUGGAGACAGUU
ensembl:snoRNA SNORA70 Small nucleolar RNA SNORA70